UACGGAGGGGGCGAGCGUUAUUCGGAAUUAUUGGGCGUAAAGGGCGCGUAGGCGGCCUUGCAAGUCAAAGGUGAAAUCCCUCGGCUCAACUGAGGAACUGCCUUUGAAACUGCAAGGCUUGAGGCCGGGAGGGGGUAGCGGAAUUCCCAGUGUAGCGGUGAAAUGCGUAGAUAUUGGGAGGAACACCAGUGGCGAAGGCGGCUACCUGGACCGGUUCUGACGCUGAUGCGCGAAAGCGUGGGUAGCAAACAGG
rnacentral:rRNA from 1 species